rnacentral:rRNA from 1 species
AACGAACGCUGGCGGCGCGCCUAACACAUGCAAGUCGAACGAGAAGGCGGGGCAACCCGCUUGUACAGUGGCGAACGGGUGAGUAAUGCAUGGGUAACCUACCCUCGAGUGGGGGAUAACCAGCCGAAAGGUUGGCUAAUACCGCGUACGCUUCCAUUCUCACGGGAGUGGAAGGAAAGCUGCACCAUGGGUGUGGCGCUCAAGGAUGGGCUCAUGUCCUAUCAGCUUGUUGGUGAGGUAAUGGCUCACCAAGGCAUCGACGGGUAGCUGGUCUGAG